AUUGAACGCUGGCGGCAGGCUUAACACAUGCAAGUCGAGCGGGGGAAGGUAGCUUGCUACCGGACCUAGCGGCGGACGGGUGAGUAAUGCUUAGGAAUCUGCCUAUUAGUGGGGGACAACAUCUCGAAAGGGAUGCUAAUACCGCAUACGUCCUACGGGAGAAAGCAGGGGAUCUUCGGACCUUGCGCUAAUAGAUGAGCCUAAGUCGGAUCACCCAGUUGGUGGGGUAAAGGCCUACCAAGGCGACGAUCUGUAGCGGGUCUGAGAGGAUGAGCCGCCACACUGGGACGGCGACACGGCCCAGACUCCUACGGGAGGCAGCAGUGGGGAAUAUUGGACAAUGGGGGGAACCCUGAUCCAGCCAUGCCGCGUGUGUGAAGAAGGCCUUAUGGUUGUAAAGCACUUUAAGCGAGGAGGAGGCUACUUUAGUUAAUACCUAGAGAUAGUGGACGUUACUCUCAGAAUAAGCACCGGCUAACUCUGUGCCAGCCGCCGCAGUAA
rnacentral:rRNA from 1 species